AUUGAACGCUGGCGGCAGGCCUAACACAUGCAAGUCGAACGAGUGGCGGACGGGUGAGUAAUGUCUGGGAAAAUGCCCGAUGGAGGGGGAUAACUACUGGAAACGGUAGCUAAUACCGCAUACCAUCGGAUGUGCCCAGAUGGGAUUAGCAAGUAGGUGGGGUAACGGCUCACCUAGGAGACGAUCCCUAGCUGGUCUGAGAGGGUGACCAUCCACACUGGAACUGCGACACGGUCCAGAUUCCUACGGGAGGCAGCAGUGGGGAAUAUUGCACAAUGGGCGCAAGCCUGAUGCAGCCAUGCCGAGUGUAUGAAGAAGGCCUUCGGGUUGUAAAGUACUUUCAGCGGGGAGGCGUUACCCGCAGAAGAAGCACCGGCUAACUCCGUGCCAGCAGCCGCGGUAAUAC
rnacentral:rRNA from 1 species